rnacentral:rRNA from 1 species
UACGUAGGGGGCAAGCGUUGUCCGGAUUUAUUGGGCGUAAAGAGCGUGUAGGCGGCCAGACAGGUCCGUUGUGAAAACUCGAGGCUCAACCUCGAGACGUCGAUGGAAACCGUUUGGCUAGAGUCCGGAAGAGGAGAGUGGAAUUCCUGGUGUAGCGGUGAAAUGCGCAGAUAUCAGGAAGAACACCUAUGGCGAAGGCAGCUCUCUGGGACGGUACUGACGCUGAGACGCGAAAGCGUGGGGAGCGAACAGG